rnacentral:rRNA from 1 species
AGGACGAACGCUGGCGGCGUGCUUAGCACAUGCAAGUGGAGCGACGAAGCGGACUUCGGUCCGUGGCAGAGCCGCGAACGGGUGAGUAACACGUGGGUAACCCACCCCGAUGACCGGGACAACUCGGGGAAACUCGAGCUAAUACCGGAUGUUCUGCACCCUUACAAGGGGGUGUAGCAAAGAUAGCUUCGGCCUUCGCAUCGGGACGGGCCCGCGGCCCAUUAGCUUGUUGGUGAGGUAACGGCUUACCAAGGCUUCGAUGGGUAGCUGGUCUGAGAGGACGAUCAGCCACACUGGGACUGAGACACGGCCCAGACUCCGUACGGGAGGCAGCAGUGGGAAUCUGCGCAAUGCGCGAAAGCUGACGCAGCAACGCCGCGGUGGGGAAGAAGGUCUUCGGAUUCGUUAAACCCCUUUGAGUUGGACGAGUCCUUACGAAGGUUAAUAGACUUCUGUGGAGUGACGUCUUA